rnacentral:tRNA from 1 species
ACCUGGCUGGCUCAGUCGGAGGAGUGUGCGACUCUUGAUCUCAGAGUUGUGGGUUCAAACCCCAUGUUGGGUA